UACGUAGGUGGCAAGCGUUGUCCGGAAUUAUUGGGCGUAAAGCGCGCGCAGGCGGUCCUUUAAGUCUGAUGUGAAAGCCCACGGCUCAACCGUGGAGGGUCAUUGGAAACUGGGGGACUUGAGUGCAGAAGAGGAGAGUGGAAUUCCACGUGUAGCGGUGAAAUGCGUAGAGAUGUGGAGGAACACCAGUGGCGAAGGCGACUCUCUGGUCUGUAACUGACACUGAGGCACGAAAGCGCGGGGAGCAAACAGG
rnacentral:rRNA from 1 species